UGCCUAAUUUUGUGUUUUGCAGCAGGAUAUUUGCAGCAGUGCUAUUAAGGUACUUAAAUACUUGUGAAUAGUAGUAGAGAACAAAAAAAAAUAGAAAGCAGUGGAUUUUUGUGUGCAGACUAUGCAUACACCUGCCGUUGCGAUGGCCAUUUUUCCCUGUCUGCUAAACCAUUCUAAA
rnacentral:lncRNA from 1 species